rnacentral:rRNA from 1 species
CACGUAGGGCGCAAGCGUUGUCCGGAAUUAUUGGGCGUAAAGAGCGUGUAGGCGGCCAGGUAGGUCUGCUGUGAAAACUCGAGGCUCAACCUCGAGACGUCGGCGGAAACCAUCUGGCUAGAGUCCGGAAGAGGAGAGUGGAAUUCCUGGUGUAGCGGUGAAAUGCGCAGAUAUCAGGAAGAACACCCGUGGCGAAGGCGGCUCUCUGGGACGGUACUGACGCUGAGACGCGAAAGCGUGGGGAGCGAACAGG